GGGAAGGAUGAGAAGCUUCGACUAAGGUUCGAUUCGAGCGCAGCGAGAAAGCGUUGCCGCAGGCAACGACCCGAAGGGCGAAGCGCGCAGCGCUGAGUAAUCCUUCCCCCACCACCA
rnacentral:sRNA from 3 species